rnacentral:rRNA from 1 species
CCUACGGGCGGCAGCAGUGAGGAAUAUUGGUCAAUGGACGAGAGUCUGAACCAGCCAAGUAGCGUGAAGGAUGACUGCCCUAUGGGUUGUAAACUUCUUUUAUAUGGGAAUAAAAUGUUCCACGUGUGGGAUUUUGUCUGUACCAUAUGAAUAAGGAUCGGCUAACUCCGUGCCAGCAGCCGCGGUAAUACGGAGGAUCCGAGCGUUAUCCGGAUUUAUUGGGUUUAAAGGGAGCGUAGGUGGAUUGUUAAGUCAGUUGUGAAAGUUUGCGGCUCAACCGUAAAAUUGCAGUUGAAACUGGCAGUCUUGAGUACAGUAGAGGUGGGCGGAAUUCGUGGUGUAGCGGUGAAAUGCUUAGAUAUCACGAAGAACUCCGAUUGCGAAGGCAGUUCACUGGACUGCAACUGACACUGAGGCUCGAAAGUGUGGGUAUCAAACAGGAUUAGAUACCCCAGUAGUC